AUAAAAUGAAUAGACUAACAUGAUUGUGACUUGACAACCACCAAGAUCAACAACCAACUUUAUUAUUCACUUAACAAUAUACGGCCCUCGUAUAUUAUUAAUAUCAAACAACAAACACUGCUAAAAUAUUAUCCCGAGAUUGAAGAAGGUGUCACAGCCCAACAAGAUGAUCAAUGAUUUACAUGACUGUGCAAGCUGAGGGAUUUUCUUCACAAUACCCCCUGCUGCCACCGCCGUAACUGUCAUACACUGGCCUCCCAUAGUAACCAUCAUACUGGAUGUACGGGGGUGGUCCCCCACCAUAACCACUGUAGCAUGGCCCACCUGCAUGCCCAUGGUAACAAUCCGUACAACAUGUUCGGACAGGCGGUGGGUACCCUGGCACACAAGGAACCGGCUGCAUAGGAGGAGGACAAGGCUUCACUGGCUCCACCGGUGGUUUAGGUUUUUCAGGAGGUGGUUUAGGCUUUUCGGGAGGCGGUGGAGCCGGUUUAGGUUUUUCGGGAGGCGGUGGAGCCGGUUUAGGUUUUUCGGGAGGUGGUUUCUCAACCGGCGGCGGUGGCUUGGGCUUCUCUGGCUCUUUGAUCUCGAUGCUUUUUAUGGCACCUCCACCUUUGCAGCAAAUCUUGUCUCUUAUCUUUUCUGGACUACAGCAUACCACUUUGAUCACCACUUGGUUUUGCUUCUCGUCGUAUAUCUGGUCUCGUAUUUCUCUUGUUCACAAACACACAUUAAUUUACUUAGUCUACAAUUAAUCUUAAUUUUCCAAAAAGGUAGAACUUUUGAUUUUUCAUCAAAUAAUUAUAAAUGAAGCAAGGAGAAGAGAGACUCACGAGGGAAUUUACAAAGAACUUUUUUGACUUUCUUGUAGCAUUUGUGACACUGAAGAUCCACCUUCAGCACCAUAAUCGUAACCUGAAUUACCCAUAUUAAUAUUAAUAGAAAAAAUAUGUACAUUAACCAAAUAUUGACAAGAAUGAAUAUUCAGAAAAUGUAUAAAUAAUACAGAAGAUUGUUGUGCAAAAGUGUAGACAAAAAGAAGUGGAACAGUGCUGCUGGACAAUCAGGGUUCUUACUGACUGACUGGGAAGAAUCAUGAUGAAGGUAUGUGGCAAAGUCAGUAACAGAGAGAGAGAGAGAGAGAGAGGGGAAAAAAACAACAAAAUAGCACAGAGGAGGGGACUUGGAUUCUUAUUAGGAUAUAAAUAAAAGAAUAGGAACCACAAAACUUAAACAAGAGCUUAAAGCCUUUUAGUUUUAGCCAUACAAAUCAUCAUUUUGGUUAUCUGCUUAUCCUCAGAAGAAGAAAAAAUGAAGAGAACACAAACUAUACCAAAUAUUGCGUACCUUUUCCUUUUCCCCCAUUGUAGUGAGUAGUGGAUGCUCUCAGGCUCAGAUCUAAAGGAUAACUUCUCAACUAAAAUGAUUGAAUGGGACAACUACUCUCACAGAACUGACUUAUAUAUAUACAAAAAUAUAUAAAAAUAGGAAUACAAUUCGGUGGAACAAGGUAAAGGGAAAGAGAAGGAGGGCAGUAUUUGAUUGAAGUGGUUUAUUAAAAAAAAUCAUGACAAAUUGCUUGUUAAGAAAGGUUUCUUAGGGAUCAAGAGGAUUUCGUGAUUGUAACCGUUCAUCGUAUAUUAUGUGAUCAGUUUUCGUUAGAUACUAUUUAUAUUUAUUUUAAUUUUUAAUUUUAAAAUAAUUUCUGAUCACACGAUAUACGAAGAACUAUCACGAUCACGAAAUUCUCAUAAUCCCCAAACGAGGAUCCUUUGCCGUUAAGAAAGAAUGAAAAAAAAAAGAGCGCGCACAAUAAUUCGUACAUAGGGCCAAUGGGAUGCUGAUAUUGGAAGGUUGAUUUCGGCCCCGUUUGGGAUUGAGAUGAUUUUAAAAAAAGUCACUGUGAAAAAAAGCUGAGGGUCAUUUUUGUGUUUGGUAAACUGAAAAAAAAAAGCUUAUUUUGGAAGCUGCUGUGAGAAUAAGCUGAAAAUCAAAGGAAAAGCUGAAGCUGCUAUUUGCUGCUUUGAAAAAAAGCCAAUUUUUUCAAAGCACACGGAGCUACAGUGCUCCUUUAAUGAAAAGACACACUAUCAUCCUGCUUUUUUUUCCAAAAGCACUUUCACAAAAAAGUUUACCAAACACUCUACUGGCUUUAUUUCACAGCCGCUUAUUCUCACAGCACAACCGCUUAUUCUCACAGCAGCUUUUUUUCAAAGCACAACAAUACCAAAUCAGCCAUUCAUGCUAUGGUGGACAAAAGCUUCAUUGUAACUGUAAUACGGGUAGUACAUUACGUGUAAGUGAUGAGAAAUUUUAUUUUUUAAGUUAUUAAUUUUUUUUAACAUAAAUAUUUUAUAUUUUUAUAAUAACACGUGAUAUACCAUUUUAUAUUUUAGAUUGAAAAAUAUCUCGCUGUAAUGAUUGUGGGUUGUCGUUAUACGAAGUGACUUUCUGAUGGUCGCUAAAAGUUGCAGUUUCUUGCAUAUGCAUGUGCUGGCUUUGAUUCACCCACCUCACCUUCCAUACUUUCCAACUUCCUGCUAAUAUUAUUAUAAGUAAAUGAUUAAUUAUCAAAAUAAAAUUACAUCCUAAGUUAAUUAUAAUUAUUAAAGUUCACAUAGAGUUUGGUGGGCAGGAGAGCUGCCAAUAUUAUUUCAAGAUCGUCAUAUUAAUGGAGAAAAAACUCUAUUGUAAGGUCGAUAGUUUGGUCAAGUACAAUUAUGGAUCAUGCACCCCCACAUGGCACAUGGAAGUUCCUCCAGUUGUCCCUACAUCUUAAGUAACAACAGGUGCCACCCGUCUUUGACCAGCUACUUGAAGUUUGGUUUGUUAAUCCAAACCGGUGAAGAAACGUCUAGUAAUUAGGGUAACGACUUGGAUGCAAUUGAUACGUCAUCAUUUUAGAACCACACGUACAUACAUGAUGCAAUCAUAUAUAUGUGGAAUUUGGCGUAGAAAGAAAGAAUGUGAUAAACCCUAUAAUCUGCAAUGUACUGGAGAGAGAAUGGAUGAUCAUAAUUGAAAAAGCGUGGGCUCCAGACGGCGAAGGUGUGGCUACUGCCUCGGAAAGCCGUUCCAAGUGUCCCAACUUCAUAGAGGUGGGUUGGCUCACACGAUAGUGGUUGAUCAAUCCGAUUUGAUCUUUUCUUCUUGUUUAAGGUUUUAGUGAUCCAUUUAUUAAGUGCAUCACAGCUCAGUCAUUUGUACGUAAGACUUGAUAUGUUUAGUUUUGAUACAACUAGGAUGAAUAAAUAUCCAUUGGUUUGGAUGGUCGUGGUUAUCCGUUCAUUUAAAUUUCACGGUUACGGUUAUAGAUAACUGUUUAGAUAAAUAAACGGUUAUGGGUAUAACCAUUUACCCGUGAAAUUUAAAUUGACGGUUAUGGGUAUUAAUCGUGGUUAUAAACGGGUAACCAUUUACCCAUUUAUUUUAUAUAUGUAAAAUUAACACAAACCAUGUUCCCUAUCGGACAAAACUUAGAUCAAUGUUAUUGACUGUAGUGCAUGAUUUCUAUAGCUAAUAUAAUAUAACUUUCCUUAACCACUUUAAAUUUCAUGAUCCAAUAUAUAUAUAUUAUGUUAAUAUUUUACAUUCUGAGUUAAAUAACCCAAGAAUAUUGUCUUUUAACAAUUCUCGUAACCCAAUAAUACUUAGCAAAUUUUAUAUUUGUUAAGGGUAGUUAGGUAAAGUUGUGAUAAGUUUGUUUUACUUUACUUAGCUAUUAAGAUAAGUAGUGAGAACAUAUGUAAAUGAUGGUAUAUAUAAUACCAAGUGUAAUAUUAUUCAGAAAUAUAAUUCACAAUUUUAUUUCUUCUCUCUCUCUAAACUUUCUUACUAAAUCUCUCUCUCUCUAAACUCUCACAUGGUAUCACUCGCCGGUGUCUAACGACCUCCGACGAUCCUUCGUCUCUCUGCGUUCUCUGCGUUCUCUGUGUUCUCUCCUUUUGCUUCUUGUCGCUACCAACAAUGGCGGUUUCGUCUCCCUCUGAUUCUACCUCGCAGCCAUCUUCUGCAGAUUCUUCGGCCCCAAAUUCGUGCCCUAAUUCGAUCAGUUCGAUCACUAUUCAGAAUAUUGGUUCGCUGGUUCCGAUUAAACUCACAACUACAAAUUGGAUCACCUGGAGUGCUUUAUUUGCACCCAUUUUUCGUCGGUACAAUCUCACCGGCCUCAUUGAUGGAUCUCUGGUGGCGCCGCCCAUGUAUCUUCUGGAUUCUUCAGGAAAUCGCACUUCGACUGUGAAUCCUCAAUAUAUCACCUGGUUUGAGAAUGAUCAAAACAUUCUGAUCUGGAUCAAUUCGACACUCUCGGAUUCUCUGAUUCCCUACACUGUUGGUGUUACCUCUGCUCGAGAUCUGUGGGCAAAACUGGAAUCUCGUCUUGCUACAGCGUCGCAAUCACAUAUUCAUGAACUGCGCUCUCGCCUUCACACGAUUACCAAAGGUGAUUCCACUGCGGCUGCUUAUCUUCAACAAAUUGAAGAAAUUGCGGAUGCUCUUGCGACUGCUGGUGCUCCGAUUGCUGAUUCGGAACUCAUCUCUGUUCUUCUUCAUGGCUUACCGCCUGAAUAUGAUGCUUUUGUUGAUACUAUUCAAUUUCGUCUUGGUUCCACUACUGUUGAUGAGUUACAUGGCUUAUUGCUUAGUAAGGAGAUUCAAUUGGCAAAUCGCAAGAAGGUUUCUUCCUCAGUGCCAUUUCAAGCAUAUCAUUCCUCUGCUGGUCUUCUCCCUACACCACCUGCUGAUUCUUCUUCUCAGGCGUACUUUGUUUCUUCUCAUGGCCGUGGCUUCGAUCGGACUUUUUCUCAUCCUAGAAAUUUUCAGAAUUUCUCUCGCCAAGGUCAGACUUUCAGUCGCCAAGGUCCGAAUUUCUCUCGCCAAGGUCAGUAUUUCUCUCGCCAAGGUCAACAGAAGAAUAAUCGUGGAUCCAAACCUAAUUUCCACAACUUCAACCGCAGACCUUCCUGUCAAUUUUGCCGUCAAUCUGAUCAUGAGGCUAUUGAUUGUCCGCAUCGUCUGAAUCCUAACUAUGGUACCAAGCAUUCACAAACUGCAUAUCAUGCGAAUACUGCUUCCAAUGCUUUCACUCCUUCCACUGCUUCCAAUGCUCCCACAUGGCUUCUUGAUACCGGUGCCAGUUCUCAUAUGACCAACUCGUAUACAAAUCUUCAAAGUCCUGAACCCUACAGUGGUCCUGAUCAAGUUUAUAUUGGCGAUGGCAAAGGUUUGCCUAUCACUCAUUCUGGUUCUUCUUGUCUUCCUACCUCUACUCAUACUUUUAAUUUGCACAAUGUGUUGCAUGUUCCUGAUCUGAAACAAGAUUUGAUUUCUGCCAAUCGAUUUAUAGUUGAUAAUUGGUGCUCCAUUCAUCUAUAUCCUUUUCACUUCCUUGUGAAGGAUCUUACUUCGGGGAAGGAGCUUUUUAAGGGUCCUGUCAAAGCUGGCUUCUAUCCUUUUCUUGCACCUUCUGUUGCAGACAAUCAUCAAGCUUAUGUGACCAGUACUACAGCUCCUCAGGGCAUUUGGCAUCAACGCUUAGGCCAUCCAUCAUUCAAGAUUUUACAUAAACUAGGCUCUCAGUCUCGUAUCUCUUGUUCAUAUCACAUUCAUAAAUUUGUAUGCUCUAGUUGUGCUUUAGGCAAAUGUUCUCGCAAACCAUUUACCUCUGUCUCUUGUACAACAACUAAGCCUCUUAAGCUGUUGCAUACUGAUGUAUGGGGUCCUGCGCCCGUUUCUUCUGUUAAUGGAUUUCGGUAUUAUCUUCUAUUGGUUGAUGACUUUUCCAAGUAUUCAUGGUUCUUUCCACUGCAAUAUAAAUCUGAGCUUUUCAGUACCUUUGUUCACUUCAAAUCUGUGGUUGAAAAUCUCUUGGGUUUCAAGGUUAUUACUCUGCGAUUUGAUUCUGGUGGAGAGUUUGUUAAUCAUCAAUUUUCUGAUUUCUUGAAGACACAUGGGAUCUCUCAUCAACUGAGCUGCCCUCAUACUCCAGAACAAAACGGGUGUGCUGAAAGAAAGCACCAGCAUUUAGUCGAAAUUGCUCGGACUCUUCUUACAGCAUCUCAAGUACCUCAUUCUUAUUGGGUUGAAUCCUUCUCCACGGCUCUUUAUCUCAUCAAUCGCAUGCCUACUGGUAGUAAACUCUCUCCUUGGGAAAUCUUGUUUCAUAAACCCCCAGAUUACACAACUUUGAAAGUUUUCGGUUGUAGGUGUUAUCCUUGGCUCCAACCUUACACUUCCUCUAAACUUGAUCCGAGAAGCAAAGCUUGUGUCUUUUUAGGCUAUAGCCUUAAUCAUAAAGGUUAUCGUUGUUUGGAUGCUCAAACUGGGCGAAUUUAUAUUCUCGCCAUGUUAUCUUUGAUGAAACCACAUUUCCUUUUCAUUCUUCUUCCCCUCCUGUUCGUCCUUCCUCUUCCGUUCCAUCUAUUUUCAAUUCCCCCUCCAUCCCAACCUCAUUAACAUUUACUCAUUCCUCUCCUGUCUCAUUACCUGUCUCUGAUUCCCUUUCCUCAUCUCCUUCUUCUUCUCCAGAUUCCUUACCACCCUCUUCUCUACCUAAUAUUCAUCCUAUGACCACUCGAUCAAAAUCUGGUAUUUUUAAACCGAAGGCUCUUCUAGCAACUAAGCAUCCUCUUUCAUCCUCUUUAUCUCUUGAUUACACACCUUCCACCUACCUUCAAGCCUCUAAACACUUACCCUGGCGCCAAGCUAUGCAGGAAGAGUUCAAUGCGCUUCUUCAAACUGGUACCUGGUCUUUGGUUCCUCCUACUUCCUCUCAGAAUUUAGUAGGUUGUAAAUGGGUUUUUCGUAUUAAACGGAAACCUGAUGGCUCAGUGGACAGAUACAAAGCCCGUCUGGUUGCCAAGGGGUUUCAUCAGCAACAGGGCUUAGACUACAAUGAGACAUUCAGUCCGGUUGCCAAACCAGUCACUAUCCGCAUUCUCUUAACCCUUGCAGCUAAAUUUGAUUGGUCUAUCAAACAGUUGGAUGUGAGUAAUGCUUUUCUGCAUGGCACCCUCACUGAGUCUGUUUUUAUGGUUCAACCUCCCGGGUUUGAAGAUCCUACUCAACCCCAUCAUGUCUGUCAAUUGCAUAAGUCCCUGUAUGGUCUCAAACAGGCUCCCCGAGCCUGGUAUGCCAAGUUAACAACUGCAUUACAGUCUCUUGGUUUCUCCGGAUCCAACAAUGAUCACUCUUUAUUUGUUAAGAACGGUGAUUCCGUGGUUUAUGUCUUGGUCUAUGUGGAUGAUAUCCUGGUCACUGGCCCUGAUUCUGCAGCUUGUCAAUCUGUGAUUUCUCAACUCUGUGCAUUAUUUCCUGUUAAGGAUUUGGGACUCCUGCAUUAUUUUCUUGGUAUUGAAGUCAAGCGAUCUUCCCAGGGCAUCUUCAUCAAUCAGACUAAAUAUAUUCUGGAUCUUCUCAACAAGGCACACAUGGAUGGUGCUAAACCUUGUGUUACUCCUCUGAGUACUUCUAAUUUGGAUCAUUCUUCUCCCUUACUGUCCAAUCCUGAAGACUACAGAUCCUUAGUUGGCGGUCUUCAAUACUUAACCUGGACCCGACCCGAUUUGUCCUUUGCAGUCAAUCUCGUAUGUCAGUUCAUGCACACUCCUCGGGAAUCACAUCUUCAGGUUGUCAAGCGUAUUCUCAGAUACUUGAAGGGCACGAUUACUCUUGGUCUUUGGUUUCCCAAAUGCUCUGCACCCCUCAGUAUUAAUAGUUUCUCCGAUGCCGAUUGGGCAGGUUGCACUAUUGAUCGGCGUUCCACAGGUGGUUUUUGUAUUUUUCUGGUUGAUUCUCUUAUUAGUUGGAGUGCCAAGAAGCAACCCACUGUUGCUCGAUCCUCCACUGAAGCGGAAUAUCGUUCUUUAGCUAAUACUGCUGCUGAGUUAACUUGGAUCUGCAAGCUGUUAGUUGAUAUUGGUCUCCUGCUUCCGUGCCCUCCUAAACUUUGGUGUGAUAACAUAUCUGCUCUUUCUCUUGCUAAGAAUCCUCCAUUUCAUGCUCGAACCAAGCAUGUGGAGAUUGAUUAUCACUUUAUUCGUGAGAAAGUUUUGGCCAACUCCAUCACUGUGCAUUUUGUCUGUACACAGGAUCAAACUGCCGACAUAUGUACUAAGGCUUUAUCCAAGGAUCGGUUUCUUUUUCUCCGUGACAAACUCUCACUUCGGCUACCUCAGCUUAGUUUGAGGGGGGAUGUUAAGGGUAGUUAGGUAAAGUUGUGAUAAGUUUGUUUUACUUUACUUAGCUAUUAAGAUAAGUAGUGAGGACAUAUGUAAAUGAUGGUAUAUAUAAUACCAAGUGUAAUAUUAUUCAGAAAUAUAAUUCACAAUUUUAUUUCUUCUCUCUCUCUAAACUUUCUUACUAAAUCUCUCUCUCUCUAAACUCUCACAAUAUUAUCUUCAUUGCUAACAGUUAAAAAUAUUGUCUGUAAAAUAUUAUUUCAAUUAUUGGAAUAGUAUAAGGACUUAAAAAAAUUAAAAUGCGGAAAUGUAUGAUGAAUGUACCUAUAACGGUGUUUAAUUGUUAGAAAAAGAAAAUUAUGACAAAAUUUUCUUUUUUAAUUUUCAAGUUGUUGAAAAAACACGUAGACGGGUGAAAAAUGAGUAAAUGGUAAAAAAGAAAGGAUAAACGGGUUUAAAAAUGAUAAAUGGGUAAAUAGGUACUAAACGGUUACGGUUAAAUGGGUACACGGUUAUGGGUAUGGUUAACCGUUUAUAAACGGUUAUGGGUAUGAGUAUAACCGUUUAGACAAUUACCCAACGGGUAAACGGUUAUGCGGGUAUGAAAAUAAACGGUUAUGGAUAAAUAAUCGCGGUUACCCGCCGGCCAUAAUCGUUGCCCAUCCCUAGAUACAACCGACAUGGGAAAUGAGGAUGAGAUUAGUGGACAUUAGGUGCAACGAUAUUUAAAUUAAUUAGUCGUUCACUUAAUCAUCUUUUUGGUAGUACACUACACACCCUAACAAUGGUCAAAAGUAGUGUGCUGGUGUAUCAUGUUGCCUAGCUAGCUACUUAUUCAUAUUUUGUGGUUGCGAACUGGCUUCUGGGAUUGUGGCAACACAAAAAAUAGGAAAUUCUUCAGGCAACGUGCAUGUGUGCCGAUCAAUUUAGGGUUCAAAAUUGUGGAAAUAUGAUGUACAUACUACGUAUACCGGUUCAAUUAAUCUUUUUUACUUUAUACAAGACCAACGUGCGUUGUCUUGUUAUUUGAUCGAUUAAAAUUUGUUAUCAUUGGGUAAUAUAUAUUUGUGACCUCAGCUUAUCAAGAAAUAUGAUUUAAUAAUAAUAGUUUUGUUGUCCUUUGGCUCUCUUGAUUUUAUUUUAUACAUUAAAAAUUGAUUUCACUUUCCUUCCUGCUUCCUGCUUCUGCAUGCAUACAAUAUUGCUAAGCUUUGCAUUUUGGACAUAUCGAAUGCUUUUUAACUCAACUUUUGUCUUUGAAUUACGUUGUUUUGUGGAUGCACGGGAUCGGUUGUUAGAUAUCUCGUCUUGAUCGCUGUCGUGCAAGUAGUACAUACGUAAUACAAAGAUUAGGCAGAGGUAACUUUGCGUAAUUUUUUGUGCCACUCUAUGCUGGGACUAGGAUUAUCUUCCCUCUUUUUUUUCCUCCUCUUCCCUCCCCUCCUAUUUGAAGUGAACGGUCAUGGUUAAGUCAUGUCAACAUUUUAUGUUAAUUUUACAUAUAAAAAGAAAGACAAAAUAGAGAAUGUGAGAUGAGGAGAGGGAAGUGGAUGGAAAAUGAGAGGAGAGAAUCCUAGUCCCUAUGAUGUGCACAGGUGUGCGUAUCGCCUACACAUAACGUCUUGGAGAUGAAAUCUCAGCCCGUGAUUAUGACGGUUCAUCGUACAUCCUGCAAUUAGAAAUCAUUUCAAAAUUUAAAAUUUAAAAUUAAAUAUAUAGCACCUCACGAAAACUGAACCGCACUAUGUAUGAUGAACAGUCACGAUCACUCGAUCCUUAGAAUCCCUAGAAAAAGAAUCCGACGAGGAUCAUUUUCCAUCCCAGCCUUCCACCUCUAGGGCCUUAAAACCAACGGAUGUGAUGAGUGCUAAAUCCCUUGUACGCAACCCAUGCGCAAGGGAGAAAUUCUGCCGACACUGUUUUCUCACCCUAAUCGAAUGGACUUAGCAGCUUCAAUAUACCCACCACAGGCCUAAGUUUGCAAGAAUUUAGGUCGAUUCUGAAAUAUUGAAGCCCAAAAUUAGAAGUGGUUUUAAAAUGGAAUUGAGAUUUUUCGUCACCAGACUUGACCCAGCAAUGUUGGCAACGAAUACAGUACACACCCACCCACGCCCAUCUAGGAAAUCCCUUAAUCUUAACGCACAAAACCCUUUUGGUAAUUGACAUUUUGAGAAGCUUCCUGGCUCAGAAAAUGAUAAAACCAUGCAACCAAUAAUCAUAUUUUAUUGUCUUAGUGCACUGUACAAGGGAUUAAUCAGCGGUGUCUAUACAUAACACAUGAAAGUUAACAUAUUCCUGCUCAUCUAUCUCAUAUGUAGAAGAGAUGUAAACGUUUCUAUUUGACUUUUAAUAGAUUUCUCUUCCUAUUGAGUAGGGAAACGUAAAGAGUGAGGUUCUUUACAUUGUGAUCCCGUUAAAAUUUGAAUGGUGUUGUUGUGUCCCAUAUAUUGGUCCCAUUGAGUAGAGAAAUGUCUACAUGAUUCUAUCACAAGCAAAGAACGUGCCCUGUAUCUUGAGAAUUAUGAUAGCAUAAAUAAGCCUCAGAAAGUAAGCAUCUAAGGUCACUUCAGUCUGUGACGGUCAGGGUCGACCUUGAGGGUAGCUGGGUAAGGCGAUCGCCUAAUUCCACCGACUUCUAGGGGCCCCCAAUUUUUUUAUAUGUAUGUAUUAGUAUAUAAAUACUUUUAAAGUAAGACAGAUAACACAAAAAACUUGGUGGCUAGUGGAAAAGAAGGCAUUUAUUUGGUUACCAUCUCUUGUUCGAAACAUGAUGAAGACUCCCCAAACAAGUAUUGUUUUUCCAAAUAUAAUUAGAAAGCCUAAUCUAAUAACAAUUUAGAUUAUGUAAACUCAAUUAGUACAUUUGCAUCUAAAAAUGAGAGACAUGUAUUAUCUAAUGUUUAUAUAUCUUUCUUGUUUUAGUAUUAAUUUUUAAUAGUAUUUGAUGUAGAAAUACAUUUUUUUUCAUGUAUUAGCGAAUUAUUUCUUCUACAUAUCAAUGUACAAAGAGUCGGGGGUUCGAUAAUUCUAGAGCCCCACUUUUAAAGCUCGCCUAGAGCCUUCAAAUUCUUAGGGCCGACCAUAGUGAUGGUGCCAAUUGGCCUUUCUAAUAGCUUGAAUGGAAACAGAAGUUACAACAAUACACUUGUUUUGUACCUCCUAUCAUUCUCAUGUUGGAGUGACUCCCAAAUGGUUUUGAUCAUAAGGAAUUUUCAAAAUUUUCAUAGCAUACAAAAGGAAACUAGACUUUUUCACUUAUUCGAUUUCUUAAAACUCAUUCAGCUAUGCUCUAACCGAUGAUGUUAUUCAAAUCACAUCAUUGACCUUGUUCCCAUCUGAUGUCCUAUCCUACAUAUAUUGAUUAUAAAUUUAAAAAGAGAGAGGGAGAGUCCUAGAGAGAGAGAAAGAGAGAGAAAGAGAGAGAGGGACAAUAGGAAAAAUGGGGAAGAGUCCCUUCUCUUUCAAGAGCAUUACUACUGAGUACGAUGCAAGAUUUCUAAGAACUUCACUAACUUCGUAAGACUAAUGAAAGAAGAUUUCAUAGUUGAAUUCUAAUGGUACAAAAUUGUUCUCUACGCCCAUAGAGAAUUCCAAAAACAUAUAAAUAGAGAACUGACAAGCAGCAAAUACCAGUUUCACAUUACAUUUUCAGUGUGAUGAGCUUUGUCAGUAAACUAAACAACCCAACAUCUAAGCAGUAACUAACUCAGAUGAACUUCUAGACUCUAACCAUGACUUGAUUGCAACUUUUGUUGUAAAAAACUAGCCAGCCUUGUGUGAGGCCUCAUGGAAUAGAGCAUUCGAUUCCUUCAAAUGCAACUCAAAUACACUCGCCAGACCUUUGUCUUAAUACUUAUGUUUCCCAUGUCCAUUAUUAAUUCCAAGCAACGGCAAAAACUCCUCACCGGAUUCCAAUACUCGAGAUAGGUCGUUGAUCCAAACAUAUAAUGCAGUCAAAGCUGCCCCAAGAGAGAGGCCCUUGAGAUACAAAGACUACUGGGUCUAAGACCUUGACUGUAAGCCUAUAUAUAUCUUAAGUGUGAUCCCCAAGUCUAGUAGCUCAUAGGCUCUCUCCAAGAGAUUGAGGUUCACACAAAGAUCAAUCAGGCAAUUGCAGUAAGCCUUCUUUACAUCCGAACCAAUCGAGUUAACAAGUUGUGAUGCUUCGUUCUUGAAGUUUUCACUACUUUCUUGCUUCUCCACUAAAAGUCUUACCACAUACCCUAGUUUUUCAUCAACCCUCUCAAUACAAUUCACAAGCUUGCAAAGUUCUUCCUUUGGUGUUUGAGUCAUCACAUUCAGGAGACAAUCACAGAAGCGCUCAUCUGGUGUUAUACCCAAUUCUAGGAGUUGAUCGAAUAUCUUGACAACGUCGGUGCAUUUUACCUUACCCUAACAUUGGAUGAGUGAUGUCAAAAUAAAGAUAUUUGGCUAAAAACCAGCUUCCAACAUCUCAUUCAAUGUUGUUUCUGCCUCUAUGACUUUCCACGCUACAGGAAUAUAUGGUAAUCAUGGACGAAAAUGUCCAACUGUCAGGCUUCAGUGUUUCAGAACUCUUCAUUUCUUCAAAAAUGUCAACGGCUUCGUCGGUGUAACCAACAUCAGCACACAUAGCUAAAAGGGUGUUAUAGAGAAUUACAUUUAACUCUAAUCCCUUUUCCUUCAUCUCUUUAUAAACAUUAAGAGCAUCAUCACGGUAAUGAGCUCUACCAUAGGCCCUUAAAAGACUUGCAUAGGUUACCCAAUUUGGUGAAAGCUCAUUGCUGAUCAUCUCUCGGUAAAUUUUCUUGGCCUGCCAAGGCCUCCUAGCUCUUCCCAUAGCAUCCAACAAAGUGUUAUAAAUAACCAAGUUUGGCUUAGCCCCUAUAGCUUUCAGUUCCUCAUAAACAUUCAAGCACCCAUCAAAAUUCCUCGAUUGCUCGUGAAUUUUGAUCAACGUAGAAAACGUCACUGGAUCAAUGUGCCACUUCUCAGUCCUGGCCCGAUCAUACAAACUGAAAGCCAUUUCAACCUUACCCGCUCGUCCAUAGGCGUCAAUCAUAGCCAAAUAGGUAACAUUAUCCAGAUUACACCCAAAACCAGGCAUCUUCUCAAACCACUCCACAGCCUUAUCAAGCAAAGAACACAUCCCAAAGCAACUAAUCAUAGUCGAAAAGGUUACAUUAUCGGGGUUAACACCUCUCUGGAGUAUUUCGUCGAACAGCUUCUCUGAUCUCUCCAUAUCCUUACCCUUCCUACACACUUUCAAAGUCACAUUAUACAAAAUUCUUAACACACUGAAGAGAUCAAGAACAACUCACAGAUUAUACAAAGAAGAAGAAGAAAGGGUUAGAGAAGAAGCUAUGAAUCUCAAAGAUCUGCAAUUAUAUUUCUGUAUUCUCUACCAAUACAUGGAAGUAAAAGCACACUUUAAACUUUUCUAAUACAUUGAUUUAAAAAGUAAGCUACCAAUCCCAUGUGCACAGUACAUGUCAUUUACACUCCUAUCUAAUAUCAUGUGCACAUCACAUGUUAUUUACAUUCACAUCCAAUACACAUCUCAAUCUUAAGUAGGGUAACCUAACUUAAGAUUGAAACAAUGCCUUAAGAAAUCAGGUCCGUGCAAAUCCUUUGUGAGAAUAUUUGCAAUUUGAUCUUUAGGACACAAGUACUGAACUGACAAGUCUCUUUUUUGCACCCUUUCACGAGCCAAAUGAAAGUCAGUUUCUAAAUGUUUGAUCCUGGAAUGCUAGACAGGAUUUAAGUUGAGAGCAAUUGCAGACUGAUUGUCACAAUAAAGGACUGGAAGAGAAUGCAGAAACACAUGUAAAUCUUUAAGAAGUAACCUGAUCCAAGCAAUGUAUGCAGUUGUAUGAGCUAAGGCACGAUAUUCAGCUUCUAUGGAACUCCUAGAAACAGAAGACUGCUUCUUUGAUUGCCAAGAGAUUGGAUUAUUUCCCAAGAACACCACAUAACUAGUAAUAGAACGUCUAGUGUUUAAAUCAGCCACCCAAUCAGAAUCACUAUAAGCAUUUACAAAUAAAGAUCCACCAGAAAUGUAUGUCAAUCCACAGUGAACUGUACCUUGCAAGUAUCGCAAGAUUCGUUUUACCCUGGCAAAGUGGACAUCAGUUGGAGCACUCAUGUAUUGACACAUUGUAUUAACCGCAAAGGCUAUAUUAGGACGAGUGAAAGUGAGGUAUUGGAGACCCCCAAGUAAGCUUCGAUACAAGGUAGAAUCAGACAACAAAGAACCAUCACUAGUUAAAACCUGAUUAUGAGGUUUACAAGGGGUGUAACAGUUUUUACAAUCAACCAUACCAGCCUUAUGGAUCAGAUCUUUUGCAUAUUUCCCUUGGUUGAUAAACAAAUCCCCAUUAGACUUAUAAGUAAUUUGAAUACCAAGAAAAUAAGCUAUAUGCCCCAUAUCCUUCAAAUCAAAGACCUCACUAAGAUUAGUAAUCACAUAUUACACCAACUCAGAAUUAGAGCCUGUGAUGAUUAUGUCAUCAACAUAUAGAAGUAAAAUAAUAACAUGAGUACCAUCUGUCUUCACAAAUAAACUGUAAUCCGAUAGAGAAGCUUCAAAACCAACAGUUUGUAGAUAGCCAGUGAAUUUUUCAUUCCAAGCUCGAGGAGCUUGUUUUAAACCAUACAAUGAUUUUACAAGCUUACACAUAUGAGUAGGAAACCUAGAGUCAACAAACCCUUGAGGUUGUUUCAUAUAAACCUCUUCUUGUAAUUCCCCAUGUAAAAACACAUUUUUAACAUCCAAUUGUCGAAGAUCCCAUUUGUAUGUGGCAGCUAAUGCUAAAAUUAAUCGCAUUGUAGUGUGUCUAACCACUGGACUAAACGUGUCUGUAUAAUCAAGACCUUGUUCUUGGCUAAAUCCUUGUGCUACUAACCGAGCCUUAAAUCGAGAAAUAGAGCCAUCACUAUUCCUCUUAAGCUUCUACACCCAUGUACUUCCUAUAACAUUCUUAUCUCCAGAAUUAGGGACAAGAAUCCAAGUACCUUAAGAUUGGAGAGCAUCAAACUCCUCUUGCAUUGUCAACUGCCACUGUGGAAUUUGUGAAGCUUGUUUGAAGCUUGAUGGUUUAGAAGCAUCAUGAAUAUCAGCAAGGAAUGUAAAACCCCCUGAAAAAUGAGCAUCAUCUUCUAGAGUUAAUGAAUGAACUUUAGGAAACAAAGCAGUGAGGGUAGAAUAAUCUUUUCAAGUAAUGGUGCAUGUUCGUAAUCGAGUUUAAAUGCCCUAUGAAGACACUGAACUUGUACCUGAGCUUGGUUGAAGGACAGGCAACAUGGAAUUGAAACCGGAAAGAGUAGCAUGUGUUCUAGAUCCUGGAUCAUUACUAGUAGGUGAUGAUGUACUUGUACUAGUAGUAGAUACAAAUCGAUGUUGAUGAGCUAAUGAACUGGAAGAUAAACUAUGAGACUCAAUAGUAUUAAUUGAAACCUCAGAGUUGUUAGUAGAACUAGGUAAUUGCACCACCAAAGGUCGAAUAUUCAUAGAAGAAGGUGAUGGAAUUGAACUCUAAGAAAAAGAACAAACCAUAUCCAUAUAAGGAAAGGAACUCUCAUCAUGCAAAACAUGUUUAGAAUAAGAAGCUUUCCUGUCAACAGAUUGUAGCAAAGAGCACCUUUAUAUCCAUUUGAAUAACCCAGAAAGAUGCAUUAAACAUAUCAAGAUUGCAGUUUGUGUGCAUUGUAAGGUCAAAGGUAAGGAUAAAUGGCUAAACCAAAGACCUUUAAAGUAGACAAUGCAAGUUUCUUGCCAUACAAUUGUUCAAAGGGAGAAGUCAUUUUAACACUUUACAAGGCAUUCGAUUAAUCAAGAAGGCAACAUGAACAACUGCAUAAGACUAGAACUUGUAUGGCAAUUGAGCAACUGACAUAAGAGUAAUAGCUGUUUCAAGCAAAUGGCGAUGCUUUUUCUCAACCAUGCCAUUUUGCUGAGGUGUGUAUGGACAAGAAACAUAAUGCAGGAUGCCAUUCUUAUCCAAAUUAUCCUUAAAGGAACUAUUCAAAAACUCUCCACCACUAUCAGAUUGGAAAACCUUUAUCUUAGCAUUAAAUUGAUUUGCAACAUAGGCACAAAAUUGAACAAAUGCACCAGAAACAUUUGAUUUAUUUAUGAGAGGAAAAAUCUAUACAAACCUAGUGGCUUCAUCUAGAAAAUAAACAUAGUAUCUAUAGCCUCCAACAUAAAGAACCGGAGAAGGUCCCCGAACAUUACUAUGUAUCUUGUAAAAUGGAAUAUCUAUCUUAUCAAUCAUUUCUAAAAAUGGUAAUCGACUCAUCUUACCACAAAUACAAUGAGAACAGACUUUUACAUUUUCAUUUGGACUACAAACUAUAUCAGAAUCUUUAAGCAUCACAGCAAGUAUCUCAUUAGAUGGAUGACCCAAACGUUGAUGCCACAAAGACUUUUGCAUAGUAUGUCCCAAAAAGGCAGAAGAAACACCACCUGAACUCAACAAUGUAGGAAACAUAUGUACUGGAAUUCUGAACAAUUCUUCUUUGCUAUUCUUUCCGUGAUGGAAGACUGCCCCUGUUGCCUUGUCCUGCACAAAGAACUAGACAUCAUCACAAAUAAACCAGCUAUGGUUAUCCUUGCAAAGCUUUUUAACUGAUAAAAGAUUAACAGUAAGCAUUGGCACAUGUAAGACAUUUCUAAGAUGUAAAACAUGAGAUUAAGUAAGCAAAAUAGUAUUGCCAAUAUGUUUGACUUCCAAACUUGCACCAUUGCCAACAAUUAUCUUCUCAUUUCCUUCAUAUGGAAUAACCCGGGUAAGAACAUUAACAUCAGGGCUCAUAUGAUGAGAUGCACCGGUGUCAAUGAUCCAUGAAUCACCAUUUACAACUUCAGGAGAACUUUGUGCAUUCAUAGCAAACAUAUUAGAAGGAUGAAUUGGAGAUACACUCCAAGGAUAUUGCGUAAAUGACACUGGUGAUGGAACUGUGGUGAAGAAGCAUACACAUAAACUUCAAGUGGAGAAGGAAACCCUUGAUAUGCAUAGUUAGCAGUCAAAGAAGGAGGUGGUUGAGUGCCUUGAUAAGCAUAGUUUGCUAUAUGUCUACAGUUGAGUGCAAUAUGACCCAUUUUUCCACAUAUUUGACACUCUUGAACAUUCAGACCAUUUUUAGUAUCAUUUCUAUAGAGACAUGUAAUAGCAACAUGACCCUUUCGAGAACAAAUUUGACACUCUGGAAUCUGGUCAUAUCUGUUAGAAGUAUUCGCAGACCAAGAUUGCCAUCCAUUCCUUGAAUUAUUGAACUUGGGUUUAUAGCCACCAUUGCCCCUUGGCCUGAAAUUGUUAGUAUUAUAGAAUCUCCAUCCAUUAUUACCAUUAGCAGCAGAUGGAAAGGCAGUAUUACCAUUUAAUUGAUAACUUGGAUAACCACCAUUACUAUGUGAGGAACCAAUGCCAUUAGAACCAUACCCAAAAUUAGAUGAUCCUUGAGAAGAAGAACCAAAAUUGCCCGAGAAUGGAGAGGGACUAGAAUUGUCCGAGAAUGGAGAUGAACCACUAUUGUCAGAAGUAGUAGUGGAAGAAUUGGUAUUGACAUACAUAGCAACCAUGCUUUGGACUAGAGAAUGUACCCUUGACUCAAUAGUCUUUUCAGUACCAAUUAACUGUGCUCGAAACUCUUUCAAAGUUAUUAGGGUAUCUCUAGCUAAAAUCACAGUGCGAAUUGUAUCAUAAUCAGGAGGUAAACCAGUGAGAGUAUCAAUUAUAAGAUCACUAUCAGAGACCUUUUCCCCUGCAACCUGCAAUUGAUCCUUAAUGCUUUUCAAUUGUAACAAAUACUUAUCAAUAAUAUCCCAUCUUUUUUGUAAAGUAUGAAGCUCAGCCUUCAAAUGAUUGACACUCGCACUAGAAACAUACAAGUAACGAUCUUGCAAAGCUAUCCAAGCUUCUCUAGAAGUUUUGCAUCCAACAACAUGUUAUAUAGGAUCAUCACUCAAGAUUGCAAUUAAAAGACUCAACAAAGCCAUAUCAGUCUUAAUCCAUACCUUAUAAGCAGCACUAAUCUCCGUAGUAACACCUACUUCAGGAGUGAGAACAAAUUUGGGAGGACAUACAAACUCACCAGUGACAUGAUCAAACAAAUCAUAGCCACGUAAAACAGACGAAAACUGGAAAUUCCACUUUAUGAAAUUAUCAUCGGUAAGCUUAAUAGUUAGCAUACCCAUCAAGCUUUCAAUCUUCACAUAAUUCGACAUAAUGAUCAGCAACAACAAUCUUCAAUUACCCAGCAAUAGAAACAAAUGCACAAUAUUGACAAUCUGAUGUCGGUAAGAAAAACCCAGAUGACAAAAUUCAAGAAAACUUAACUGCAAUCAAUAUAUGCUUCAGAAAUUAUCAAGAAUGAAAGAAACUCAGAUAUGGCAUCGGCCUUAAACAAUCAAGAACUUCAAGAAUUCACUAAUUCAUCAACAUAAUCGGCAUUAGCCUUCAGAUUCACAACGCAGUUACAAGGAAACAAUCAGCACCUUUGGCAUUGGCCUUGAGGCAAUUCAUCAACAAAUUCUUCAAACAACAUUCUUGUAUGGCAUCGGCCUUUAAAAUCCAAAAAAAAAAAAUCCAAUUUCAACAACUAAUCAGAAAUUCACAAGAAAGAUAUCACCUUAGCAAUAAUCGGAGCAACGAAAAACAUGAAUCAGGAGGCUGGCUCUUGAUACCAUCUUAACAUUCUGAAGAGAUCAAGAACAACUCACAGAUUAUACAAAGGAGAAAAAGCAAGGUUUAGAGAAGAAGCUAUGAAUCUCAAAGAUCUAGAAUUAUAUUUCUGUAUUCUCUACCAAUACAUGGAAGGAAAAUCACACUUUAAACUCUUCUAAUACAUUGACUUAAAUAGUAAGCUACCAAUCCCAUGUGCACAACACAUGUCAUUUACACUCCUAUCUAAUAUCAUGUGCACAUCACAUGUUAUUUACAUUCACAUCCAAUAAAAAUCACCUCCCGUUUCAGUUUCAACCUCUGCUGAAAGUAGUUAAACGCAAGAAAAGCACUUUCCGAAUUGUUCAUGUUAUUCAGAACCACCACAGCGUCGUGUUCCAAAAUAUUAUCCCCUAAACCUUUUAAAGCUUCGAAAACAUCACCUUCAAUCGGAGUGCAAGAGUUCAAAUACUCAGUGACUUUCACCAAAGAAGCGUACCUGGAAUUGUAGGACUUGUGCCGCAGCUGUGAAGCUCUGGGGCUGCUGGGAUUGACCCAGAUAUAGCUUUUCAACAAAGACCCGGAAUUUCCAUCUGGGCUCUGAAUAUUUCCAAUUUCUGGAGCUUUGGAGUUCUGGGAUUCUUCUGCAACUGGGUUUUGCAAAGAAACAUGGUGUAUUUGCAGAGAGGUUCGUGACUGAAAUUGUAGUGAAGGAAAACUGAGUCUGUGGGUGUUAAUUACAAGGCUUAAGAGUCAAAAAUCAGUCGGGGAAGAAGAAGAAGGGAGAGAGUGGGAGAGAGUUUUGGGGUUGCGGAAGAGAAUAUAGGGUGAAUAGCACAAGUGACAAGCCAUUUUCCUCACCCUGUGAGGGGAUCAUGCUUCUGCUUUGCAUUCCAGGGUAUAGGAAGAGGUUAAUUACUAUGUUUGCCUUAUGUGUAUACGUACCUUCUAAUAUUUCACAAAGGCAAACUUCACUGUCUUUUUUUUUCUCUCCUCCGUGAGAGCCCCUUCUCUCCUCCGUGAGAGCUUCUAAUGGGGGAUUAGAUCCGUACACUAUUGGCUAUAGGUCAGCGAGUGGGGUUUGGUCUUUUAUUUGGAAAGUUUGUGAGGAGCUCCCUAAUUUGUUUGCCAGAUCUGAUCUGAGUGUGGGCCGACCAAAGAACUAAAUGAAGGUACAGUAAUGUGAGCAGAGUCAUUUUUUGACUCUGGGAAGAAUCCCGCUUUGUAAAAUGAGGCAUUUAUCUCUCGUCUACUAUGGAUCCCUUCAAUGUGGUAGGGGCUGUUAGAAGUUGUAAGUGGUGAUGAGGAUUUAUUCCCACACCCACUCUCUACCUACCAGAUUUGAGGUAUUGGUGGGUGUUUAGAACAAUCCUCUGCUUUGUUAAGGUUUCAGCUGUGGUAAGGAAGGUAUGGACCACAGUUUCCAGUUCCGACUAAGCUUGAUGGCGAGUAAUGCACUCAUUUCUCUGUCAUUAAUUGUUGUUAGGGUUUCCUUUCACCAAAGCAUUAAAGUUCAGCGACAAGAUACAUCAUAGUAAUGUCCUGAUGUACGUACUUAUAUCGCUCCUAUGAGUGUUUAUUAUGAUAAGCAAUCGUAAGAGACGGAGAGCAAUCAAGAAAGGAAAAAGUUACAACCCUUACAAAAACAAAAUUCACAAGGAUUCCACACUCAAUCCCCUUCAACUCAUCUAUUCCAAUGAUCCAGAGCACAAAGCAAAGCAUGGCAGAACAAGAGAUUAAAGACUUGGUGAUUCACCUUGAUAAAUCCAUGGAUGUGUCGACCAUGGAGCAAGGGAUAGAUUUGGUUGGGGCGGCCCUACUGAGUAAAACCUUGAACAAGUGGGUGUUCAAAAUAUCCUCAGGUCUUCCUGGAAGGAACUGGGUGAAGUAGAGAUAAAAUGGGUAAAAGAGAAUACUUUCAUUAUAAAGGUGCAGGAUGAGAGCACUACUGCAAAGAUUCUAAGUCAGGUUCCAUGGGCAACAAUGGAAGAAAACUUUUAUGUAAAGAAAACUUUUAUGUAAAGAGAUGGCCAAAAGACUUGGUGCUGGAGGAAGUAGAGCUAGAAAAAAAUCCCAUUUUGGGUACAAAUCAGGGGGGUGCCACCCUGCCUCAUUUCGGAAGCCAAUGUACAACACCUCACAAAGGAAAUAAGGGAGUUCAUUGAGUUAGAAGACCCAGCUAAAACUCGUGGCUUCAUUAGCACCAGUGUAGUGGUUGAUACUCGUACCCCUUUGACUACUGGAUGCUGGCUACCAAGAGAUGAAGAGAAGGAUACCUAGGUGGAGUUUAGAUACGAGUGGUUGCAAAACUUUUGUUAUCGGUGUGGGCGAAUUGGUCAUGCGAUGAAUGAAUGCUCAUUUGAUCAAACCAGAGGAAUAACGGUUGGCUAUGGGGAGUGGACUAAAGCAGCACUUAUUCGUGAUCUGAUUGAAACGUUUGGACCUCUCAACAUCGGGAUGGGUGAGUAUAGACAACCGAGUACGGCUAGGAGAGGUACGAGGAAGGUAACCCUACAGCCUAACAAACUUGGAACCAUGGGAAGCAAUGUAGGAGAAGGAAGUAGCUAGAUUGAGGUUAGGUGUCCUAGAGGAAUAACUAGGCGCAAGAAAUGGUGGAAGCAAAGUUACAGGGUAAACCAACUUGGUAUGGAUCCUGGGUCUCUCAUCCCUCACCGGCUAACUUCCUAGGGUCACCAAUACCUGAAUCGACAGAACGCCCACCAUCAGAUGCAAGCUGGCUCGACCUCGGUGGUCAUAUAAAAGAUUAGAGAUGAUGACACUCAAACUAGGGGAGAGUUAGCUUUGAGUAGGGUGGUGGCAGAUGGUACUCAGUCUAAGAAGGGCAUAAACCUUAGCGUGAUGGAGAUCCACCAUACGCCUAUACAAAAAAAGUAAAAAAGUUGAGAAUAGUGAAGAGAGGAAAAAAAAGUGGCAGAUAAGCUUAGGAUAAUGAGCAUCAGGGAGAGGUGUCUGAUGAUGGAGGAAGCCUUAUAUACGAAGGAAGAGUCCGAAGAAAUCUGAAAUGAAUACAAGGAAAUGUGGGAAUUCAUAGAGAACGUUUCGAAGACUGCGAGGAGGAACCCGCAGGAAAGACGUGAAUGGUCGAGCUCUCAAGGCGGUGGUGGCUGGCCUAAUACAACUGCACGAUCACCAUGACACACCUAUUUUGGAAUUGUCGUGGUCUUGGGUCGGACAUGGUAGUUUGAGCCCUACAUGGGCUGAUUAGGAAAUACAGACCUUCUAUGAUCUUUCUCUUAGAGACUAAAAUGAAAUAUCAUAGAAUUGACGGUGUUCGUAGGAGAAUGGGUUCCCAAAUGGUUUCAGGGUUGGUAUGGCUAGUGGUCUCAACCUAUGGUGGGAUGAUUUAAUGGAGGUUAAGAUUAUGUACUCUUCAAAGCAUGCCAUUGAUGCAUGAGCCAUAGGAAUGGGUGAAAUCAGGUGGUCCAGGGUGACAGGAAUUUAUGGUACGGCUUACAGAGAGGAGAAAUACCAGUUCUAGGGUUGGAUGAACACCUUCUUUAAACCUACUUACAUUCCCUGGUUGUGUGGAGGAGAUUUUAAUGAGUUUAUCUGGGAGUCUGAAAAAUCGGGAGGCGCAUCGGUUCUGUACAACCGCCCUUAUUUCUUAGCACACUUCAUGGAGGGCUUAGAAUUAAUUGACCUUGACUUCAAUGGACUUCCCUUCACUUGGCAUGGGACACGAAAUGGGACUCUUGUGGAGGUUAGGCUUGAUCGAGGGCUGAGCAACUGGUGUUGGCAAGAUUGUUGGUCUAACACCUCUGUUACCCAUGGCACUAUAGUGGGCUCAUACCACUGCUCGCUCAUAAUCUAACAUGACCCUAACCAGGCUAAAUGUAAGAAACAUUUUCGCUUUGAAACCUUCUGGGCAAAAGAAAAGGAUUGCAAGCAGGUAUUGAGACAUGCUGGCAUCGUGCUUGUAAUGGUGAUCAUGUUUCUAGGUGGCAGCUGAAGCUUAAUGAUUGCAGAUCCAGGUUGAUCAGAUAGAGCAAACAAAAAUUUAAGGUGUGUGUGGGUGAAAUUGAGGAGCUAAUGGGCCAACUCGAGGAGUUGAAAAAUAAUUGGGCAACAAAUGCGAAUAGAAUCCAGGAAAUUACCAUUAGGGUUGACAAGCUUCUGGAACAAGAUGAGCGUUUUUUGCAGCAAAGGUCUCUGGUCAAAUGCCUUCGUAAUGGUGAUGCUAAUACUGCAUUCUUUCACCAAUCAACCCUGCAAAUGAGGAGAAGAAAUAAUGUGGUGAAGCUCAGGAAGGAUGAUAGCGUGUGGAAGGAGAACCCAAACGGUCUUAAAUAUUUAAUUGAUGAAUACUUUAUCAACCUGUUUAAAUCUGAGGGUCCUAGGGAGCGGGGUCAGGUGCUGGAGUGUAUCACUCUGUCGGUGACUGAUGAAAUGAACCACACUUUAUUAUUACGGAUCACCCAUGAGGAAAUUGCUAUUGCUGCUCGGCAAAUGGGUGACUUAAAGGCCCCGGGCCUUGAUGACUUUCAAGGAAUUUUCUACCAUUCCUAUUGGGACUGUAUUGUGAAGGAGGUUAAUGAGCUGGUUAUGUACUUGUCGAAAUGAGAUACUUGUCCUUGGCAACUUAGUGCGACCCAUAUUGUUUUGAUCCCAAAGGUUCCGAACCCGGAAUUUGUAUCUUAAUUCCGACCAAUUAGCUUAUGUAACUUCUCCUAUAAGGUGCUCUCCAAAGUCUUAUUAAAUAGACUCAAGCCUUUACUCCCCAAGAUUUUUUCUCCUAUACAGAAUGCUUUUGUUGGGGGAAGACAAAUACAGGACAACAUUGGGAUAGCGCAUGAGCUUUUCCACUUUCUUAAGCUCAGGAAAACAAAGUCUAAGUUCGAACUGGGUAUUAAACUGGACAUGCACAAAGCCUAUAACCGUGUGGAUUGGGAUUUCCUGGAUGCGGUUAUGGAAAUGAUGGGAUUUCACAGUACUUAGCAGAGGAUUAUCAUGGGGUGUGUGACCUCGGUUAAUUUUGCUAUGCUUCUCAAUGGUCAACCUGGAAAUAAAUUCGUCCCUUCGCGGGGGCUUUGACAGGGCGACCCUCUUUCCCUGUACCUAUUUCUAAUGGUCAAUGAUGUCCUUUCUAGGAUGACAUGCCGUUCUACGGAGACCAACAACAUGCAGGGGUACGGAACAGCCAGCAUGACCCUCCCAUUUCCCACAUCUUCUUUGCUGAUGAUACUCUCAUUUUCUUAAAGGCUGAUAGGUCAAACUGCCAGGUGUUGGGCCAGCUCAGUGAGGAUUUCUGUGCUGCCUCUGGUCAGGCCGUAAACUUACAGAAAUCUUGUGUGUUUUUUAGUGCCAACAUUCAUGCUGCAAUUUCAGAGGAGUUGGGAAAUAUUCUUGGGGUUCCGGUUGUAUCGGAUCCUGGGACUUACUUGGGAGUUCUUGCUAUUUGGGGUCGAUCCAAGAGUCGUGGCCUUGCUUAUGUGAAAGGUAGAAUGUUUGGAAAAAUCCAAUGAUGGAAGCAGAGCACUUUAUCCCAAGCUGGCAAAGAGGUUAUGAUAAAAUAUGUGGCCCAAGCCAUACCUGCUUACCCAAUGAAUUUAUUUAAAUUUGCAGAUGCAGUCUGUAAUGAAUUGGACUCCAUGAUUAUGGGGUUCUGAUGGGAGCAGAAACAUGGUGAAAAAAAAAAAUCAUUGGGUGUCUAAAUGCAAAUUAGGCCACCCAAAGAAUAUUGGAGGUUUGGGUUUCAGAAGUUGCAAAAGUUUUAAUGAUGCUCUCCUUGCUAAGCAAUGUUGGAGGCUGAUUGUGGAACCAAAUUCGAUAUGGCCUCUGUUCUCAAGGCCAAGUACUAACAUUGCUAUUUUCUAGACGCCAAACGGGGAAGUCGUGCUUCGUGGGCUUGGACUAGUUUACUCGUGGGUAUAGAUGUUAUCAUGCAAAGGGCUAAGUGGCAGAUUUCUGAUGGGCGUGAGGUGCGGUUUUGGAUUAAUCGUUAGCUGAUAAGCUCAUAUUUAUAUAUAUUUUACAUCAUAUUCACUUAUUUUUUCUUAGUUAGUUCCUUAUAUUUUUGAGCUAUUUACUUUGUUUUUGUGUUUUGUAGGAUUUGUCAAGCAAAGAAAAGAAAAAUAGCACAAGUGUGAUUUUAAGUAACAAAUUCGUCAAAACUGCGUGUGUAGGUCAGCUGACUUUGGAAGCAAUUUGCGAACAGCUCAAAAUGAAUUAGAGAAUGAGCCUUAUAUUCUUGGAAAGCUACGGAUGUCUAUUUUCUGGAGCAUUUCACAGAUUGCUAAUAUCAUUUUUCUAGAAGACGUUAUGGCCGUUUUAACACUAAAACGUUCCUAAGAGGCUGAGCAGUUUGUAACUGACAAGAAAGCAUUGAAAGCAAUAAAUCCAAUAAAUCUAGCAGCCAAAACUGAUGCAGCAAAGAACAAGCCAGCUGACACCUAUUCAAAUAUAAGAGGAAAUGAAAUUAAAGAUGAGGAUUAAAUGGGAGUAAUUGGCAUAAAGGUUGCCCAAAGAGUUACAAUUGUUUUACCAAUUUCUCUCACUUAUUGUCAACACUAAAUGGCUGUUAGUGGGGUGAGUUAAGGAGAAGAAAUAAGGUAGCAAGCAAGAAGAAAAAGGUUGCAGGUUGCGGCGGCAAAGAUAGAGAAAAAAAGAUAGAAAAAAAGGAAAGGAAGGAAAAAAGGCAAGGCUGCUGCGUUGGGGAAGGAAUGAAAGGAAUGAGGAAAUCUUGGCAUUCUCUUCUUUCGGUUUUAUCUUCUCAAACUCAUGUUUUUCUUUUGGUUUUAUUUGAGAAUUAUGUGUAACUAAAUUUUUAGAAGUUAUGGGCUGUUUUGAAGCCUCGAAUAUGAUUGCAAGUUUGUUAUGACAUUUCGUUUGAAUUACUUUUAUGAAUGGAUGAAAAUUGGUUCACUACUUGUCUUAUUGAUGAAUUCUUUAUUUGUUUUCUAUGGAUGCAUACGUAGUAAGCAUAUCUAGGAUUCUAACGCUAUGAAUAUGUGUGUGCCUGCCCUGUCGAAUGAGGACCUACAUAUGUUCUAGAGUAGUACUUGUUAAUUGCGAUUAACAUGUGAACCAAUUUCUAGGAUAAGUAAGACAACGCCAGUACUUACGAUGCCUUGUGAUAACUCAAACUCUUUUCGUUCUUAAUGAUUUCUACUUGUUAAAUCUAUGAACACGUCAUUCUAGAUUGCAUGCUAGGGACUAAGUUAAGUUGAAAAUGUCAUUCUCUUAACAUACUACGUAACAAAGAGUACUAAGUUGAGUUCUAACAUUGAGCGAACUUGAGCAUCUUCAUCUGGAAAUAAAAGGAAUUUGAAUAAAACAUAACAUGUUUGCAUGAUUAUUUGGUGGUGGAUAACAAUAACCCUAACUCGUUUUUCUUAAUUUGUGAACUAUUUAAAAUUUGCUUAUGUCAUGUUUUUGUUCGAUUUAAUUUUAAUAUAAAAUCAACUCCAAAAAUCCCAAAACUUUGUAUGAGUGUAGCUCUGUCUGUCUAGUGUUUUCAUAUAAAAUUUCGUAGACUUUAGAUAUGUUUAAGUCAGUCUAAUAAUUAUUUUUCCGUGGCUGGUCAGUAGGGACAGUAGCCCAGUUUUUGUGACAUUUUAAGUAGUUAGAUAAAACAAUCUUCUGCGGAAAAUACCCUUAUUUUCAUAUGCUACAAUUGACAAAUCUUAAUGUUAAUAAGGAAAAUAAAUAAGACAUUUGUGUGCUACUUUGUGGUGUGCACUUAAUCCUAUCAUUAGCUCAUCUCCCUCCCUUUGGGCCAUCAUAUUCCGAGGGGACCGGUGCAUGUUACACUAGAUACUCAGGUUCAAACCUUUCUGUGCCCAAUCACUAGAUCGUGGGACUUGAACUCUCUCCUCCCAUUCCUCUUCACAAAGGAAUUGGAUGAUGUCACAGGCUCUGAUGUGGGUAUUGGUUCUGGAUUGGAUCGUUUCAUCUGGCAUGAGACGAAGACUGGUGUAUACACGGUGAAAUCUGGGUACCUCUCGUCCAUCCACGUCCUGCACCACUCCUAAGUGUGUGUGGAAAAUUAUUUGGAAGCUUCAAACCCCGGCAAAAAUCAGGUUUUUUCUAUGGAAGACUUUCCACCGCUCUCUUGCCACGAUGGAUGACUUGUUCAUUCGUCAAUCUACCCCUAACCCGAUGUGCCCGAUCUGCCUUUUCCAAGAAGAGUCAAUUGUGCACCUUCUUUUACUUUGCCCAUGGGUUGAAAAAUCUGGUUUGGAUGGAUGUUGAAUUAUAAGAUUAACAGAAGUGAGGUCUCAAGUUGGGUGGAUUGGUUUGAUCAAGUGGCGUUCAUUCGGUUGGGUGCUAAUGGGGACUGGUUGCACGUGCUCUUUUAUAUUGCCUUCACUUGUUGGCACAUAUGGAAGUCUCGCUGCAAUUUUGUGUUUAAUCAGAGACUAAUUAACCCUACCCAAGUGGUUUGUGCUAUUAAUAACUCGACGGGAGCCUUUACUGCUGCUACCCGGCAACUGCAUCAUCUCUCGUCUCUUAUCCCUCUUGUGGAUGUUAGUCCAUCUAGGUGGUCCCCCCUUCCACGAUGUACAAGAAAAUCAAUGUUAAUGCUAAUUGGUCGAAGCAGACACGUUCGGCUUUGUGGGAAUUAUGGUAAGGGAUGAUGGUGGCUCUUUUAUGGCAGCGGUCAGGUAUGCUUUUCGAUCCCCUUGUGUUGGUGCUGCUGAGGCAAUGGCUAUCCUCAAGGGGUGUGAAUUUGGUCUGUCGCUGAGGCUCAAGAAGGUGGUUGUGGAAUCUGACUCGACGGAGUUUAUCUCGUCCCUGGUGGACUCGCAAGAUAAUGGCAAAUGGGAAGCUUUCCCUUACUUAGUAAAAGCUAAAAAUCUAGGGGAUUCUUUCCAAAAUUGUCGCUGGUCUUGGAUCUUAAAACUAGCCAACAUGGCGGAUGAUGCUUUGGCGUUGCAAAGUUGCUCGGAGAUGUGCGAUGUUUUUUGGGUCAACAGACCCCCAUCUUCGCUUGUUCACAUCCUUCACAACGACGGGAUACCUUGCCCUGCCGGGGGGCUUUGGAGAGGGUGACGCAAUAACUAGGUUACUGCGUCUCCAUUGUAACUAUCUCCUUUGCCCUAUGUCUUUUCUUUACUUUUGUUUUGCUUGCCUCCUUGUAGGCUUUCUUGUUUCGUUUGGAAUCUUUGCCCGGUUUGAAUCUACUGUUUCCAAAAUAAAUAAAAUAAAAGGAGAAUGGAAUGAAAAGUAGGCCUAGGAGUAGUUCUUCUUCCUGGGAACAAAUUAUUACACACGUAUCUAGGUUGUUGCUGAUGAUGCUCUCUCUCUCUCUUGUUGACAUUUGGAGGGGCUGAGGGAACAAGGAUUUGUUUAGUUUAAAGUAAUGUUAGAGAAAUUAAAUUUGUAAACAAAAUUUGCAAAUUAAAUGAUGUGUUACUAAUAAGAAAUUAGCACAUUUAUAAAUGUUUAAGUAAUAAUCCAAUCAUCAAUUUUGAUGCCAUUUAGUUUACAAAAUUUUGUCUACAAUUUUAGUCUCCCUAGUAUUACUCUUUAGUUUAUGGUGGAAUCUAACGAUGUGGGGAUUGAAAAUAAUGAUAUAGUUGAGCAUUGUUAGACGAGGAAUGAUAGCUAAAUUUCAUUCUUUAGUUUACUCAUAUGAGCCCAGGGAGGCCAAGGGUUUGCUUAUGGGUGGGAAAUUUACAUGAAUUGGAACACACUAUCCUAACCAACUAGUGUAACUCAUAUAAGUCCCGGGAAGCCAAGAGAUUGCUUCUGAGUGGGUUUUUGUUUUUGGUAAAGAAAGAAAAAAAAAGUAGUUUAGAUUAGAACAAGCGAGUUGAAUCUGGUAGGAGAAAAAAAAAGAUUAGCUUUUGAAAAUAAAGGUAAAUAUAGAAAAAUAAUAAUGAGUUUUUUCAAAAGAAAUAAAAAUUGUGUUUAUGUUAAUAGAAUUCAUGUUACACUUAAUAAAUGAGAAAGAUAAGUGAAAAUGCAAAUAAGGAAGGUAGCUAGAUUCUUCUAUUCACACCUCCUGCUUCUGGGUGGGUUUUUGUUUUUGGUAAAGAAAGAAAAAAAAGUAGUUUAGAUUAGAACAAGCGAGUUGAAUCUGGUAGGAGAGAAAAGAUUAGCUUUUGAAAAUAAAGGUAAAUAUAGAAAAAUAAUAAUGAGUUUUUUCAAAAUAAAUAAAAAUUGUGUUUAUGUUAAUAGAAUUCAUGUUACACUUAAUAAAUGAGAAAGAUAAGUGAAAAAUGCAAAUGAGGAAGGUAACUAGAUUCUUCUGUUCACACCUCCUCCUCAAUUCCACUCUUCACUAAUCGCUUAGUAGUAGUUGAUGAAAAUCAACUUGCGAAAUAGGAAAUAACUAAUAGUCUAUAUUAAUGAUAUAAUGAACAAAUUAACGUGAUUGUGACUUGAAAACCACCAAGAUCAACAACCAACUUUAUCAUUCACUUAACAAUAUAUGGCCCUCCUAUAAUAUUAAUAUCAAACAACAAACACUGCUAAAAUAUUAUCCCGAGAUUGAAGAAGGUGUCACGGUCCAACAAGAUGAUCGAUGAUUUACAUGAUUGUGCAAGCUGAGGGAUUUUCUUCAUAAUACCCUCUGUUGCCACUGCCGUAACUGUCAUACACAGGCCUCCCAUAAUAACCAUCAUACUGGAUGUACGGGGAUGGCCCCCCGCCAUAACCACUAUGCCACGACCCACAUGCACGCCCCUGGUAACAAUCCAUACAACACGCUUGAACAGGCGGUGGGUACCCUGGCACAUAAGGAACCGGCUGCAUAUAAAGAGGAGAAUGCUUCACUAGCUCCAUCUGUGGUAUAGACUUCUGGACCUCCUUGGGUGUGUCUGCCGGUUUAGAUUUGUCGGCCUCUUUGGGUUUUUCUAUGCCUUUAGGUUUGUCUGCAAGCUGUGGCUUGGGCUUCUCGGGCUCUUUGAUCUCGAUGCUUUUGAUAACACUCCCACCUUUGUAGCAAAUCUUGUCCCUUAUCUUUUCAGGACUGCAGCAUACCACUUUGAUCACCACUUGGUUUUGCUUCUCGUCAUAUAUCUGAUCUUGUAUUUCUCUUGUUCACAAACACACAUUAAUUUACUCAGUUUACAUUUAAUCUAAAUUAGUCUUAUUUUCCUAAAAAGAACAAACUUUAACUAUGGUUUUUCAUCAAAUAACUAUAGACGAAUCAAGGAGAAGAGAGACUCACGAGGGAAUUUACGAAGAACUUUUUUGACCUUCUUGUAGCAUUUGUGACACUGAAGAUCCACCUUCAGCACCAUAAUCGUAACCUGAAUUAUCCAUUUUUAAUAUUAAUAGAAAAAAUAUGUACAUUAACCAAAGAUUGACAAGAAUGAAUCUUCAGAAAAUAUAUAAAUAUACAGAAGAUUGUUGUACAAAAGUGUAGACAAAAAGAAAUGGAACAUUGCUGCUGGACAAUCAGGGUUCUGACUGACUGAGAGGGAAGAACCAUGGUGAAGGUAUGUGGCAAAAUCAGUAACAAAGAGAGAGAGAGAGAGAGAGAGAGAGAGAGAGAGAGAGAGGCGAAAAACAACAAAAUAGCACAGAGGAGGGGACAUGGGUUCUUAUUAGGAUAUAAAUAAAAGAAUGGGAACCACAAAAACUUAAACAAGAGCUUAAAGCCUUUUAGUUUUAGCCGUACAAAUCCUCAUUUGGGUUAUCUGCUUAUCCUUGGAAGAAGAAAAUGAAGAGAACGCAAACUAUACCAAAUAUUACGUACCUUUUCCUUUUCCCCCAUUGCAGUGAGUAGUGGAAUGAGAACUUCUCAACUAAAAUGAUUGAAUGGGACUACUGCUCUCAUGAAACCGACUUUUAUAAUUAUUAGUUAUGAGCACGCACCAUGUGUGUGAACAAUUUCAUUUUGUUUUUUGUUUAUUAAGAAGUGUGAUUAGUUUUUAAAAUUUUAAAAAGAGUAUGAAAAAAUGAUGAUGGAACAAUUUCUCUUAAUAAGUGCAUAUUUUAUCUUAAUAUUACAUAAUUACUAUUUUGCCCUCCUUAUGUAAAUAUUAUGUAUCAAAAGUGAGGGUAAAAUAGGAAAAAUAGAGAUAUGUUUGUCAUUUUCUCAAAAGAUACAAAAUUACUAUUUUGCCCUCCUUAUGUAAGUAUUGUGUAUUAAAAGUGAGAGAAAAAUUGGAAAAAUGUGCAAAAGAUACAAAAUUACUAUUUUGCACUCCAUAUGUAAGUAUUGUGUAUGAAAAGUGAGGCCAAAAUUGGAAAAAAGGGGGAAAAAGUUGACAACAAGGGUUUUCUUAAUAUAUACUAUAGAUAUAUACAUAUUUCUACAAAAAUAUAUAAAAAUAGGAAUAUAAUUCGGUGGAACAAAGCAAAGAGAAAGAGAGAAGGAGAGAGCAAUAUAGGAAGGUUGAUUUCAUGCUAUAUGGUGGACAAAAGUUUCAUUGUAACUGUAAUACGAGUGGUAUACCAUGUAUAAGUGGUGAGAAAUUUUAUUUUUUAAGUUAUUAAUUUUUUUAACACAAGUAGCUCAUUAUUUUUAUAAUAACAUGUACUGUAUCAUUCUGUAUUCUGAACACGCUGAAAGAUCUCUACAUGAUUGAGGGUUUUCGUUAUACGAAGAUAGUUUCUAAUGAUCGCUAAAAAUUGCACUUUCUUGCACAUGUAUGUGCUGGCUUUGAUUCACCCACCUCAACUUCCAUACUUGCCAUGUAUGUGCUAAUAUUAUUUUAAGUAAAUGAGUCCAUGAUCAAAAUAAAAUUACAUCCUAAGUUUAUUAAUUAUUUAAGUUCACAUAGAGUUUGGUGGAGAGGAGAGCUGCCAAUAUUAUUUCAAGAUCGCCAAAUUAAUGGAGAAAAAACUAUAUUGUAAGGUCGACAGUUUGGUCAAGUUCACUUAUGGAUCAUGCACCCCCACAUGGCACCUGUAAAUUCCUCCAGUUGUCCCUAGCUCGGUGCCACCCAUCUUUGACUAGCUACUUGAAGUUUGGUUUGCUAAUCCAAACCGGUGAAGACACGUCUAGUGAUUAGGAUAACGACUUGGAUGCAACUGAUACUUCAUCAUUUUAGAACCAGGGGUUUCGAUUUACCGGCAUACGUACAUACAUGACGCAUCACAUAUAUGUGGAAUUUGGCGUGGAAAAAAUGAAUGUAAUACCCCUAUUACCUGCAAUGUACUGGAGAGAGAAUGGAUGAUCAAAUUUCAAAAAGCGUCGGCUCCAGACGACAGAAGUGUGGCUACUGCCUAAGAAAACCGCUCCAAGUGUCCCAAUUUCAUAGAGGUGGGCUGGCUCACACGAUAGUGGUUGAUCAAUCCGAUUUGAUCUUUUCUUCUUGUUUAAGGGUUUAGCGGUCCAUUUAUUAAGUGCAUCACAGCUCAUUCAUUUGUACGUAUGACUUGAUAUGUUUCGUGUUGAUACAACCGACAUGGGAAAUGAGGAUGAGAUUAGUGGACAUUAGGUGUGUCGAUAUUUAAAUGUGAAAGUUUUAACGAAAAAUUCACGGUAUUGUUCAUUUUAACGAAAAAUCACAUUUGUACACUAAAAAAUCAAACAUGGUACCAUGCACUUUACUCUUUAUUUUAUCUUUAUCGUUAAAACUCUUUUCAAACCAUUUUCAUUGAUUUUCCUUUUAAAUUAAUUACUUGUUUACUUAAUUAUCUUUUUGGUGCAAUGAGGUUUCAAUACUAGAAAGUAGUACACUAUGUUAGAGUAAAUGUAGAAAUAUAGAAAAUCAACUAAAGAAUGACUUUGAGGUACGACUUGAAUCGUUUCUUUAAAUUGUUAUUUGUCCACACUCGAAUGUUUGCUAAAGGGUUAUUGGCAAAUCACUUCCAGGAUACAACAAAGUAUGAAAUAUUCGAUUAGCAAAACCGAAUUGUAUUCCCUUAGAAAUAACUAGAAAGAAAUUGUAUGAAUGUGAUAUGGAGAAAGAAGAGAGCAAAGAAAUUGUGUAGACAACAAAUUUCUCAAAGAAUUUUCUCUUCUUCCAAUGUUAUCAAUAUAUAGAGAGAAUUGCACAUGUUCAAGUUAAUCGAAAGUACAUAACUUUUGAAGUCAUAUUGGUUCAAUAUGUCAUAUCUGUUUGAACAUAUACAAAGCAUUAUCCAAAGGGCAUUUUAAUGAGUAUAUCUGAUGAAGAGCACCAAUUACCUAAAGAUCAUAUUUGCUAGGAAAAUGAUUACACUUGUUGACCAUGAGUCAUGUCUUUUUUGGCAACAAUCAAAAGAUGCGGUUUUUAAAUUGAAGAGAUGUGAUUGUUGGGAAGGAAUCCAACUCUAUUCUCUGCCAAUACAAAACGCACGCAUAUGCAUAUACAUAUUUUAUAUAUCUAUAUAUAUAUAUAUAUAUAUAUAUAUAUAUAUAUUCUUGAAAUAUCCUACAAUCAAGGUUUUAAAAAUCGCUAGGCGCUAAUCGGGCGGCGGGCUGGGGCCUAGCGCCUAGGCGGGGCCUAGGCGGGAGCCUAGGCGGACUAGGCGGAUUUAAGUAAAUCUAUCAUAUUUCAAGUAAAUAAGUGUCUGCUUCUACUUGAAAUAUAUAUAAUUUCAUCAUAAACUACAAAACAGAAUGCAUAUAUAUCAUGAAGUAUUGGAACAUAAUGAAAACAUGUGAAAUAAGAAUAUAAUGUUUGUUCAUUCAAGUAUGCAACAAGUCUCUUACAAUUUAUUGGAAAAAAACAAAAUACAAAAUGAAAGUUAUGUAUUUUCUGUCUAAGUGAGUUGCAACCUAGGCGGGUCUAGGCGGGCUAGGCGGAUGCCUAGGCGGGCUAGGCGGGUGCCUAGGUGGUCUAGGCGGUGGGCUGGGGCCUAGGCAUUAAUCGGGGCGGUGGGCUAGGGCCUAGCGCCUAGGUGGGGCCUAGCGCCUAGGUGGGGCCUAGGCGGGGAUUUUUAGAACAGUGCCUACAAUACACACCCUAACAAUGGUCAAAAGUAGUGUGCUGGUGUAUCAUGUUGCCUAGCUAGCUACAUAUUCAUAUUUUGUGGUUGCGAACUGGCUUAUGGGAUUGAGGCAACACAAAAAAUGGUGAGUUUUUCAGGCAACACUCAUGUGUGCCGAUCAAUUAAGAGUUCAAAAUCGUGAAAAUAUAAUGUACGUACUACGUAUACCAGUUCAAUAAAUCUUUUUUACUUUAUACAAGACCAACGUGCUUUGUCUUGUUAUUUGAUUGACUAAAGUUGUUAUCGUUUGCUAAUAUAUAUUUGUGACCUCAGCUUAUCAAGAAAUAUGAUUUAAUAAUAAUAGUUUUGUUGUCCUUUUGGCUCUCUUAAUUUGAUUCUAAACAUUAAAAUUUGAUUUCACUUUCCUGCCUGCUUCCUGCUUCUGCAUGCAUACAAUAUUGCUAAGUUUUGCAUUUUGGACAUAUGGAAUGUUUUGUAACUCAACUUUUGUCCUUGAAUUACGUUGUUUUGUGGAUGCACGGGAUCGGUGGUUAGAGAUCUCGUCUUGAUCGCUGUCAUGCAAAUAGUACAUACGUAAUACAAAGAUUAGGCAGAGGUAACUUUGUGUAAUUUCUGGUGCCGCUCUAUGCUGUGCGCAGGUGUGCGCAUCGCCUGCGCGUAACGUCUUGGAGAUGAAAUCCCAGCCUUCCACCUCUAAGGCCUUAAAACCAACGGAUGUGAUGAGUGUUAAAUCCCUUGUACGCAACCCAUGCGCAGGGGAGAAAUUCAGCCGACACUGUUUUCUCACCCUGAUCGAAUGGACUUAUAGCAGCUUCAAUAUACCCACCACAGGCCUAAGUUUGUAGAUAAAAUCACCACUAAGAAUUUGGGCCGAUUCUGAAAUAUCGAAGCCCAAACUUAGAAGAGAUUUUAAAACGGGAUUUGAGAUUUUUCGUCACCAGACUUGACCCAGCGAAGCUGGCAACGAAUACAGUACACACCCACCCACGCCCACCUAGGAAAUCCCUUAAUCUUAACGCACAAAACCCUUUGGGAAAUUGACAUUUUGAGAAAAACAUUUUGAAAAGCUUCCUGGCUCAGAAAAUGAUAAAACCAUGCAACCCAUAACCAUAUUUUAUUGUGUUAGUGCUUUGUACAAAGGAUUAAUCACCGGUGUUUAUAUAACACAUGAAAGUAACAUAUUCCUGCUCAUCUAUCUCAUUUGUAGAAGAGAUGUAAACGUUUCUAUUCGACUUUUAAUAGAUUUCUCUUCCCAUUGAGUAGAGAAACGUAAAGAGUGAGGUUCUCAUUUUGAUCCCGUUAAAAUUUGAAUGGUGUUGUUGUGUCCCAUAUAUUGGUCCCAUUGAGUACAGAAAUGUCUACAUGAUUCUAUCACAAGCAAAUAACAUGCCAUGUAUCUUGAGAAUUAUGAUAGCAGAAAUAAGCCUUAGAAAGUAAGCAUCUAAGGUCACUUCAGUCUGUGAAGGUCAGGGCCGGCCUUACGGGUAGCCAGGUAAGGCAAUCGCCUAAUUCCCCCAACUUCUAGGGGCCCCCAAAUUUUUUAUAUGUAUGUAUUAGUAUAUAAAUACUUUUAAAGUAAGACGGAUAACACAAAAAACUUGGUGGCGUAGUGGAAAGGAAAGCAUUUAUUUGGUUACCAUCUCCUGUUCAAAACAUGAUGAAGACUCCCCAAACAAGUAUUGUUUUUCCAAAUAUAAUUAGAAAGCCUAAUCUAAUAACAAUUUAGAUUAUGUAAACUCAAUUAGUACAUAUGCAUCUAAAAAUGCGAGACGGAUUCUCUAAUAUUUAUAUAUCUUUCUUGUUUUAGUAUUAAUUUUUAAUAGUAUUUGAUGUAGAAAUACAUUUUUUUUUCAUGUAUUAGCGAAUUAUUUAUUCUACAUAUCAAUGUACAAAGAGUCGGGGGUUCGAUAAUUCUAGAGCCCCACUUUUAAAGCUCGCCUAGAGCCUUCAAAUUCUCAAGCUGGCCUUGGUGAUGGUGCCAAUUGGCCUUUCCUAUAGCUUGAAUGGAAACUGAAGUUACAACCAUACACUUGUUUUGUACCUCCUGUCAUUCUCAUAUUGGAGUGACUCCCAAAUGGUUUCGUAGCAUACAAAAGGAAACUGGACUUUUUCACUUCGAUUUCUUAAAACUCAUUUAGCUAUGAUCUAACCGAUGAUGUUAUUCAAAUCACAUCAUCGACCUUGUUUCCAUCUGAUGUCCUAUCCUACAUAUAUUGAUUAUAAAUUUAAAAAGAGAGGGGGAGAGUCCAAGAGAGAGAGAGAGAGGGACAAUAGGAAAAAUGGGGAAGGGUCCCUUCCCUUCUCUUUCAAGCGCAUUACUAUUGAGUACGAUGCAAGAUUUCUAAGAACUUCACCAACUUUGUAAGACUAAUGAGAGAAGAUUUCAUAGUUCAAUUCUAAUGGUACAAAACUGUUCUCUACGCCCAGAGAGAAUUCCAAAAACAUAUAAUAGAGAACUGAGAAGCAGAAAAUACCUGUUUCACGUUACAUUUUCAGUGUGAUGAGCUUUGUCAGUAAACUAAACAGCCCAACAUCUAAAGCAGUAACUAACUCAGAUGAACUUCUAGACUCUAACCAUGACUUGACUGCAACUUUUGUUGUAAAAAACCAGCCAGCCUUGUCUAAGGCCUCAUGGAAUGGAUCAUUCAAUUCCUUCAAAUGCGACUAAAAUACACCCGCCAGACCUUUGUCUGAAUACUUAUAUUUCCCAUAUCCAGUAUUAAUUCCAAGCAACGGCAGAAGCUCCUCACCGGAUUCCAAUACCCGAGAUAGGUCAUUAAUCCAAACAUGUAAUGCAGUCAGAGCUGCCCCAAGAGAGAGGCCAUUGAGAUACAAAGACCACUGGGUCUGCGACCUUGACUGUAAGCCUAUAUAUAUCUGAAGUGUGAUCCCCAAGUCUAGUAGCUCACAGGCUCUCUCCAAGAGAUUGAGGUUCACACAAAGAUCAAUCAGGCAAUUGGAGUAAGCCUUCUUUACAUCCGAACCAAUCGAGUUAAAAAGUUGUGAAUCUUCGUUGUUGAACUUUUCACUACUUUCUUGCUUCUCCACUAAAAGUUUUAACACAUACCCUAGUUUUUCAUCAGCCCUCUCAAUGCAAUUCACAAGCUUGCAAAGUUCUUCCUUUGGUGUUUAAGUCAUCACAUUCAGGAGACAACCACAGAAACGCUCAUCUGGUGUUAUACCCAAUUCUAGGAGUUGAUUGAAUAUCUUGACAACGUCAUCAGUACGUUUUGCUUUACCCUAGCAUUGGAUGAGUGAUGUCAAAAUAAAGAUAUUUGGCUCAAAACCAACUUCCAACAUCUCAUUCAAUGUUGCUUCUGCCUCUAUGACUUUCCACACUACAAGAAUACAUGGUAAUCAUGGACGAAAAGGUCCAACUGUCAGGCUUCAGUGUUUCAAUACUCUUCAUUUCUUAAAAAAUCUCAAUGGCUUCGUCGGUGUAAACAACAUCAGCACACAUAGCUAAAAGGGUGUUAUAGAGAAUUACAUUUAACUCCAAUCCCUUUUCCUUCAUCUCUUUAUAAACAUUAAGAGCAUCAUCACAGUAACGAGCUAUACCAUAGGCCCUUAAAAGAGUUGCAUAGGUUACCCAAUUUGGUGAAAGCUCCUUGCUUAUCAUCUGUCGGUAAAUUUUCUUGGCCUGCCAAGGUCUCCUAGCUCUUCCCAUAGCAUCCAACAAAGUGUUAUAAAUAACCAAGUUUGGCUUAGCCCCUAUAGCUUUCAGUUCCUCAUAAACAUUCAAGCACCCAUCAAAAUUCCCCGAUUGCCCGUGAAUUUUGAUGAACGUAGAAAACGUCACUGGAUCAAUGCGCCGCUUCUCAGUCCUGGCCCGGUCAUACAAACUGAAAGCCAUUUCUACCUUACCCACACGUCCAUAGGCGUCAAUCAUAGCCGAAUAGGUAACAUCAUCCGGAUUACACCCAAAACCGGGAAUCUUCUCAAACCACUCCACAGCCUUAUCAAGCAAAGAACACAUCAAAGAGCAACUAAUCAUAGUCGAAAAGGUAACAUUAUCGGGGUUAACACCUCUCUGAAGUAUUUCGUCGAACAGCUUCUCUGCUCUCUCCAUAUCCUUACCCUUCCUACACACUUUCAAAGUCACAUUAUCCAAAAUCACCUCCCGCUUCGGUUUCAACCUCUGCUGAAAGUAGUUAAGCGCAAGCAAAGCAUUUUCCGGAUUGUUCAUGCUAUUCAGAACCACCACAGCGUUUGGUUCCAAAAUAUAAUCCCCUAGACCUUUUAAAGCUUCGAAAACAUCACUUUCAAUCGGAGUGCAAGAGUUCAAAUACUCAGCUACUUUCACCAAAGAAGCUUACCUGGAAUCGUAGGACUUGUGCCGCAGCUGUGAAGUUCUGGGGCUGCUGGGAUUGACCCAGAUAUAGCUUUUCGAGAAAGACCCGGAAUUUCCAUCUGGCCUCUGAAUAUUUCCAAUUUCUGGAGCUUUGGAGUUCUGGGCUUCUUCUGCAACUGGGUCUUGCAAAGAAACAUGGUGUAUUUGCAGAGAGGUUCUUGACUGAAAUUGCAGUGAAGGAAAACUGAGUCUGUGGGUGUUAAUUGCAAGGCUUAGGAGUCGGAAAUUAGUCGGGGAAGAAGAAGAAGGGAGAGAGCGGGGGGAGUUUGGGGGUUGCGGAAGAGAAAGGAGGGUGAGGAGCACAAGUGAUAAGCCAUUUUCCUCACCCUGUGGGGGAUUAUGAAAGGUGCAUUUCUUUUGCUUUGCAUUCACAGGACAAAUAUCUUUUUGAACUUGUGUCGGGCCUGGAAGUGAUUUUACGGCUUCGGAAGAUGUUCGAAGCCCAACUUGAAUUUCCAAGAGCUUUAUGAUCAGAUAAAAAGUUUAUUAAAAUAGGCAUUGUUUUGUAUAAGCAUUAAGGAAAAUGUUAUGAUUAAGCUUUUUCAUAGCAGUUUUAUCAUCGUUUUGUAGGUCCAGAUGUUCAAAAGCUUACGUGUAGGAAAGAUGAGUUUAAUAUAAAGAAAUCACAAACCAUAACAAAAUUGUGAGUGUUAGCUCAUAAAUUUUGUAGAAAAUGCAACAAUUGAUGUCAUUUAAGGUGUUCAGAAGCAUUCUUAUCGUAAUAGAAAAUUAAGAAUAAAAUCACCUCCACAUCCAAAUCUCCUUAAUGUCCCAUAAGAAUUUUAAGAUUCUUACGGUUAAAAUUUGACACAAAUAUAGGUUAUAUAUAUAUAUAUAUAUAUUUUAGGUUAUAUAUAGUUCUUGGCAAAAAAUCUAUAAAUCAAUAAAACACCGUAAAUAUUAGCUCACGAGAAAAUAUUAAAUUAACUAUUGAGCAUAAGAAUAUGUUGCAGAGGUAGAAAAAUGUUACGAGCCGUUAGGAAAUGGUGGGUUUUUGUAGGGUAUCAGCCGGAAUACAAACAUGGUGUUGGAUUAGUAGACACGUGGGGUUUUGGCUUUUGCUUAUUUUUGUAUAAACAUAUCAAUUAAUUCUCGAACAAACAAAAGGAGAAUGGAAUGAAAAGCAGGCAUAGGAGUAGUUCUUGUUUCUGGGAACACAUUAUUAUACACGUAUCUAGGUUGCUGCUGCCGCUCUCUCUCUCUCUCUCUCUCUCUCUCUCUCUCUCUCUCUCUCUCUCUCGUCGACAUUUGGAGGGGCCGAGGGAUCAAGGAUUUGUUUAAUUUAGAGUAAUGUUAAGAAAACAAAAUUUAUAAAUAAAAUUUACAAAUUAAAUGAUGUGUCGCUAAUAAGAAAUUAACACAUUUAUAAACGUUUAAGUAAUAAUCAAAUCAUCAACUUUCAUGUCAUUUAGUUAAUAAAAUUUAGUCUACAAAUUUAGUCUUCUUAAUAUUACUCUUUAGUUUAUGGUAGAAUCUAACUAUGUGGGGCUGAAAAUGAUAUAGUUGAGCAUUGUUAGACGAGAAAUGGUAGCUAAAUUUCAUUCUUUAGUUUACUCAUAUGAGCCCUGGGAGGCCAAGGAACACAUUAUCUUGAUCAAAUAGUGUAACUCAUAUAAGCUUCAGAAGAUAAGAGAUUGCUUCGGGAUGGGUUUUUGUUUUUGUAAAGAAAGAAAAAAAUAUAGUUUAGAUUAGAACAUGCUGGUAGGAGAGAAAAAUGGUUAGCUUUUGGAAAUAUAGGUAAAUAUAGAAAAAUAAUAAUGAGUUUUUUUAAAAGAAAUCAAAAUUUUGUUUGUGUUAAUAGAGUUCAUGUUACAUUUAAUAAAUGAGAAAGAUACGUAGCUAGAUUCUUCUGUUCACACCUCCUCAAUUCCACUCUUGACCAAUAAGAACGCACGCGCACGCACUGUGCAGGACAAAGAAGGGAAUGUGGAAUGGAAACUUUUAUUGCAUUGAAAAUUGUAGCAGCCACCAACUUCAUCUUCAUCUUCAUCUUCAUGAUGAGAUGUAUCUCUCUCUCUAUAGUCUAUACUAAUGAUAUAAGAACAGAUUAACGUGAUUGUGACUUGACAACCACCAAGAUCAACGACCAACUUUAUUAUUCACUUAACAAUAUAUGACCCUCCUAUAAUAUUAAUAUCGAACACUGCUAAAAUAUUAUCCCGAGAUUGAAGAAGUUAUCACGGUCCAACAAGAUGAUCGAUGAUUUACAUGACUGUGCAAGCUGAGGGAUUUUCUUCACUGAAACAGUCAGGGCGGGUAACGCAAUACCCCCUGUUGCCACCACCGUAACUGUCAUACACAGGCCUCCCAUAGUAACCAUCAUACUGGAUGUACGAGGCUAGCCCCCCGCUAUAACCACUGUGGCACGGCCCAGCUGCAUGCCCCUGGUAACAAUCCAUACAACACGCUUGGACAUGCGAUGAGGGUCCAGGAUUUAGCAGGCCAACUUUAGGUUUACCGUCAUCUUUAGGCGUACUGUCAUCUUUAGGCUUACCGUCACCUUUAGGCUUGCCGUCAUCUUUAGGCUUACCUUCAUCUUUAGGCUUACUGUCAGCUUUAGGCUUGCCUUCAUCUUUAGGCUUACCGUCAGCUUUAGGCUUGCCAUCAUCUUUGGGUGCUUUGGGCUUGCCGUCAUCUUUGGGUGCCUUGGGCUUCUCGGGCUCUUUGAUCUCAAUGCUUUUGAUGGCACUCCCACCUUUGCAGCAAAUCUUGUCCCUCAUCUUUUCUGGACUGCAGCAUACCACUUUGAUAACCACUUGGUUUUGCUUCUCGUCGUAUAUCUGGUCUCGUAUUUCUCUUGUUCACAAACACACAUUAAUUUACUCAGUUUACAUUUAAUCUAAAUUAAUCUUAUUUUCCCAAAAAGAAAGAACUUUAACUUUGGUAUUUCAUCAAAUAACCAUAUAGAUGAAUCAAGGAGAAAAGAGACUCACGUGGGAAUUUACAAAGAACUUUUUUAACCUUCUUGUAGCAUUUGUGACACUGAAGAUCUACCUUCAGCACCAUAAUCGU
rnacentral:lncRNA from 1 species